CACGGGUGAGUAACGCGUAUCCAACCUGCCUUACACUCUUGGACAGCCUUCUGAAAGGGAGAUUAAUACAAGAUGUUAUCAUGAGUAAGCAUUUUCGCAUGAUUAGAGGUUUACCGGUGUAAGAUGGGGAUGCGUUCCAUUAGAUAGUAAGCGGGGUAACGGCCCACCUAGUCUUCGAUGGAUAGGGGUUCUGAGAGGAAGGUCCCCCACAUUGGAACUGAGACACGGUCCAAACUCCUACGGGAGGCAGCAGUGAGGAAUAUUGGUCAAUGGACGAGAGUCUGAACCAGCCAAGUAGCGUGAAGGAUGAAGGUUCUAUGGAUUGUAAACUUCUUUUAUACGGGAAUAAACGGAUCCACGUGUGGAUUUUUGCAUGUACCGUAUGAAUAAGGAUCGGCUAACUCCGUGCCAGCAGCCGCGGUAAUACGGAGGAUCCGAGCGUUAUCCGGAUUUAUUGGGUUUAAAGGGAGCGUAGAUGGGUUGUUAAGUCAGUUGUGAAAGUUUGCGGCUCAACCGUAAAAUUGCAAUUGAUACUGGCAGUCUUGAGUACAGUUGAGGUAGGCGGAAUUCGUGGUG
rnacentral:rRNA from 1 species